GAAAGCCGUAUGCUUUGGAAGAAGCUUGUACAGUUUGGGAAGGGGUUUUUUGAGANAGUUUGGGAAGGGGUUUUUUGAGAGAAAAGAAGAAUCUACUUCAAC
rnacentral:ncRNA from 1 species